UACGAGUGCCCCAAGCGUUAUCCGGAAUCAUUGGGCGUAAAGGGUGUGUAGGUUGCGUCAUUAGUCUUCUGUCAAAUUCUUCGGCUCAACCGGGGGUCCGCAGAAGAAACGGUGAAGCUAGAGGAUGUGAGAGGUGAAUGGAACUCAUGGUGUAGGGGUGAAAUCCGUUGAUAUCAUGGGGAACACCAAAAGCGAAGGCAAUUCACUGGCACAUUCCUGACACUGAAACACGAAAGCGUGGGGAGCGAACAGG
rnacentral:rRNA from 1 species